AAUAAUUACUGCUGGGGUACAGCCAAGAUAGUGGAGUGAAAGCCGGAACUCGGCUGAGUUCUUCCCCAAACUCCUUCAAAUAACUCUAUAAAGUGACUCUGAACAAAUACUAGAGUGGUAGAACCCACAAAGAGACAGAAUGAGACAGAUUCCCAACCCACAACAACCUGGAAGGUCCACAAGAAAGGUCAGUUGCACCAGCCUGAGAGAGGAGAGUGCAGCUCAGAGGGUGCAGUGCAAACCUGGCCGAAGCAAAGAUGGAGCAGGCCCCACGGAGACUGGAUCACUGGCAAUAGAUGACCUGAAAUUAUCCUGCAAGAUUGAAAAUGGGGGCUACUGCAUAUUUUACUAAUUAGUGGAGCCAAAAGUGAGAAAACAAAAUUGGUGGUUGUCAUUUUCUGCACUUGCAAUGUGGGGACAGUAUACACUCCCAUUUUAUGCAACCCAGUUAAGGAGUUCAACAAAGAGAAAGCAUGUGCAAAAAGGGCUGAGAUAUUUCACUGCUAUAUUUUGUUGACCAUGGAGAAAGGGCAACAUUUCUGACAAGAGACUAUGCUCCUGACUAUUAGUCACCACUCAUAUUGGAAACAGUUCAAGCCAUUGGAACUAAUCAAAGGAGUCACCUUGUC